rnacentral:rRNA from 1 species
UGAGAUUUAUAAACCUCAGAGGCGGAAUUAACAUAACUAUUUUUGUUUGGGAUUACAAAUUCUGUAUUAAUAGAGAAUUUCUCCAUCCCUGGGUAUCCGUUAAUCUUGUUUUGUUUUACGACAAUAAUAAGUAGGAUAUACCAUGAGCGCAUAAAAUGUGACCCGAAAGAUGGUGAACUAUGCCUGAUCAGGUUGAAGUCAGGGGAAACCCUGAUGGAAGACCGAAGCAGUUCUGACGUGCAAAUCGAU